rnacentral:rRNA from 1 species
UAGGGAAUCUUCCGCAAUGGGCGAAAGCCUGACGGAGCAACGCCGCGUGAGUGAAGAAGGUCUUCGGAUCGUAAAACUCUGUUAUUAGGGAAGAACAAAUGUGUAAGUAACUAUGCACGUCUUGACGGUACCUAAUCAGAAAGCCACGGCUAACUACGUGCCAGCAGCCGCGGUAAUACGUAGGUGGCAAGCGUUAUCCGGAAUUAUUGGGCGUAAAGCGCGCGUAGGCGGUCUUUUAAGUCUGAUGUGAAAGCCCACGGCUCAACCGUGGAGGGUCAUUGGAAACUGGAAAACUUGAGUGCAGAAGAGGAAAGUGGAAUUCCAUGUGUAGCGGUGAAAUGCGCAGAGAUAUGGAGGAACACCAGUGGCGAAGGCGACUUUCUGGACUAAUACUGACACUGAGGUGCGAAAGCGUGGGGAGCAAACA